rnacentral:rRNA from 1 species
AUUGAACGCUGGCGGCAUGCCUUACACAUGCAAGUCGAACGGCAGCGGACCUUCGGGUGCCGGCGAGUGGCGAACGGGUGAGUAAAGUAUCGGAACGUACCUUUCAGUGGGGGAUAACGUAGCGAAAGUUACGCUAAUACCGCAUAUUCUGUGAGCAGGAAAGCAGGGGAUCGCAAGACCUUGCGCUGAUUGAGCGGCCGAUAUCAGAUUAGCUAGUUGGUGAGGUAAAGGCUCACCAAGGCGACGAUCUGUAGCGGGUCUGAGAGGAUGAUCGGCCACACUGGAACUGAGACACGGUCCAGACUCCUACGGGAGGCAGCAGGGGGGAAUUUUGGACAAUGGGGGCAACCCUGAUCCAGCCAUGCCGCGUGAGUGAAGAAGGCCUUCGGGUUGUAAAGCUCUUUCGGCCGGGAAGAAAUCGCGCCAGUUAAUACCUGGUGUGGAUGACGGUACCGGAAUAAGAAGCACCGGCUAACUACGUGCCAGCCGCCGCCGUAACAC